UCGGAUUGUAGUCUGCAACCCGACUACAUGAAGCUGGAAUCGCUAGUAAUCGCAGGUCAGCAUACUGCGGUGAAUACGUUCCCGGGUCUUGUACACACCGCCCGUCACACCAUGGGAGCCGGAAAUGCCCGAAGCCAGUGACCCAACCUUAGGGAGGGAGCUGUCGAAGGUGGAGCCGGUAACUGGGGUGAAGUCGUAACAAGGUAGC
rnacentral:rRNA from 1 species